GACGAACGCUGGCGGCGUGCUUAACACAUGCAAGUCGAACGGUAAGGCCCUUCGGGGUACACGAGUGGCGAACGGGUGAGUAACACGUGGGUGAUCUGCCCUGCACUUCGGGAUAAGACUGGGAAACUGGGUCUAAUACCGGAUAGGACUCCGGACUGCAUGGUCUGGGGUGGAAAGCUUUUGCGGUGUGGGAUGGGCCCGCGGCCUAUCAGCUUGUUGGUGGGGUGAUGGCCUACCAAGGCGACGACGGGUAGCCGGCCUGAGAGGGUGACCGGCCACACUGGGACUGAGAUACGGCCCAGACUCCUACGGGAGGCAGCAGUGGGGAAUAUUGCGCAAUGGGCGCAAGCCUGAUGCAGCGACGCCGCGUGAGGGAUGACGGCCUUCGGGUUGUAAACCUCUUUCAGCAUCGACGAAGCGAAAGUGACGGUAGGUGCAGAAGAAGGACCGGCCAACUACGUGCCAGCAGCCGCCGUAA
rnacentral:rRNA from 1 species